UGGUCUAGCAAAACCGACCCGUUGACAGCCCCAAAUGAGGGGUUUAUUUGAUUGAAAAUCCCCUCCCGCUCUUCAUCUCUAAAGUCUUCUCUCCCUUUCCCGCUCUUCGUGACUUUUCGCUUUUGCUCACUCUCUCCCCCUACUCUCACUACUAUCUCACUCUGAGGCUCACUACUUUAUCUCUCUCCCUAGUCGCAACCUCUCAUCUCUCUCUCUAGAUCUCUUGCCACCGAAGUCACGAUCUCUGCCUCUGCCCCGGGUUUAUUAGUUCAAGUACAGAAAUUUAUUGAAUCACUAAAUGAAACUCUCCUAUCUCAUGGGGGAUUUGGUGUUUCUAUUGGUUUCUUAGAACCCUACUUUUUCUUCCCAAUUUCAGUCAUGUCCUCAUUGUCGCACUCAUUUCUUACAAUCGACACUUGUGGACCUGUUGACAUUGAUGAUCCACGACUUGGACUUGUCCAGAUUGAAGAACUUCCCUUAGGAGAGCUGCUUGAUAUCAUCUCUCGAGUAUUAUUUAAAUGGCAUAUGGUAUAAAAGGGUUUUGUUAGAUAAUGGGCUCACUGUGAUGGUUUUCAUAAUUCAAACGAGCGGCUCAAAGUAUGGUUGGAGACAAUGGAUAUUUCUUUUAUAUUUAGAAUUUUUUAUUUGAAGGUCAUCUCGACUUUAAUAUGUAUUGAGAAAAAUUUGACAUUUGUAAUACAUUAUGGAUAUAUUUUUUUUGGUAACACAAUGGAUGUAUCAAAUUAUACAUGGCAUG